rnacentral:rRNA from 1 species
ACUCAAAUGAAUUGACGGGGGCCCGCACAAGCGGUGGAGUAUGUGGUUUAAUUCGACGCAACGCGAAAAACCUUACCUGGGCUUGAACUGCUAGUGGUAAAAGCCGGAAACGGUGAUGACCCGCAAGGGAGUUAGCAGAGGUGCUGCAUGGCUGUCGUCAGCUCGUGUCGUGAGAUGUUGGGUUAAGUCCCGCAACGAGCGCAACCCUUAUCCCAUGUUACCUGUAGUGAUACAGGGUCUCUGAGGAAACUGCCAUUGAUAAAAUGGAGGAAGGUGGGGACGACGUCAAGUCAUCAUGGCCUUUAUGUCCAGGGCUACACACGUACUACAAUGGUUGGUACAGAGGGUAGCAAUAUCGUAAGAUGGAGCAAAUCUCUAAAAACCAGCCUCAGUUCAGAUUGUGGGCUGCAAUUCGCCCACAUGAAGUAGGAAUCGCUAGUAAUCGCAGAUCAGCAGGCUGCGGUGAAUACGUUCCCGGGCCUUGCACACACCGCCCGU